CGCAGUGUUUUAAUAGGAGACAGUAAUAAAAGUGGGAUGAAGGUCCUGCUUUUCUGGUCCUCUCCAUGCUGCUGUUUGAUGCCCUGCAGCAUCACUGAAUGUAAUGUGCAAGGGGAUUGCUUCAUGGUCAGCAGAGUUUGUUGAGUUGCCAGUCUUCUGGAAUGAUGUGGAAUUGAAAUAAAUACUUGAACUAAGGCAGAAAUGGAUGGAAGUCAGCUGCUUCUCCCCCAGAAUCUGUUCCGGACUAACAUAAGAGGUGUUUGAUGGUGGGAUAAGAGGGAGAGAAGGAUGGUAUAUACUGGGAAAUCUGACACAGAAUACUUUGGGAAUGUCGUCCAGUGUACCCCUUUGCUAUUAAUGAGGCAUUAAACCAAUUUAUUUUGCCAUGGA